GAUUGCUGAAGCCUUAAAUCUUGUCAUUCCUCUCCAAUAAAUUUCUCUAUGGAUGUUUUCUAAAAGGAAAUUUCUUUAACAACCCAUCACUACCUUACAAUUCAUACAUAUAGCACAGGCAUGGUUGGUGAAGGUUUACAUCCUGAAUACAGCAGAUUGGACUACCAACUAGAGAAAAUAGCAGAGUGGCUACUACGAUACUGGUCCUCCUUACAGGUUAGAACAUGGCACCUUGUGAUGCACGUGUCUGGGCUCUACAUGGACCAAAUACACAGACACCACACAAGAAAUUUCUAGCACUUGGACCUUGGUGGAUUGUUUCUGUCGAGUCGUAUGCUUUUUCAGCAUUCACUGGAAAAAGGGGGUGUCUCCUAAUCAACAGGGAGAUUUAGUUGAAUUUUAUUCUCAUUUCUUUAGCUGAUAAAUCUGUAUGUAACAUGGUUGUUCAUUAUUUGGCCAUUUAUUACCAUCUAUUGACAAAUGAUAGUGAAGUUCUGUUAAUCAGCUGCGAUGAAUACAGUAUCAAUACACUCCAAAAUGACUCCAACACUAGAGGAUGCGAUGAAGAGCAGGAAUUCGGGAAAUAAAAACUGGAAACCACAAAAACACUGGUGAAUGUGUAAAAGGUUGUCAAUCUAGUGGCAAAUUACGUCCUUUACUUUUCCAGUUCAUAUAACUGAACUUUUAUUUCAUGCUUGGUUGACAGCUGAAAAUAAGGGUCUCGAAGCUAUCUUAUUAGGAAUACAUGCUUAAUUGAUCGUUAAGUUAGAUUCAGCCCGCUAGCUGUAUGUUCCAAGAAAUCUUUUUUCCCUAAAUUUGUUGCAGGAACAUGACGUGAUUGCUAUAUCUUGGACACGAAGUUAAGGAAUUUACCUCUUGUAAGAAUGAAUCACAAUCACAGCAACAACCUAUGUUCUUUGCAACAAAGAAUGUUUCGUAGCGGUUGGACCCUAGCUCUAAUCCAACCAAUGACAAACACUACGAUAGAGACGAGAAUGGCCGACCCUGCAACAACAAGAGGAGGACAUAGCUUGGUUCUUCUUGAAACAGGAUUCUUUCUAUUCGUUGCUGCUUCUUUGAUAUCAUUUCCUAUUCCAUGGCUUUCUUUGCUUCCUUGGGCCUCAUUGUUUCUUGACUUGUAUGCAGGAUGUGGAGUUUCAGCCAGCUUUUUUUCCUGAUCAGGUUCGGGUAUCGUUGGUUCUUGAACAUUUGUUUCUGUUUCCCGCUUUUCUGAUUCGUGUGAUAUUUCAGUCUUGACUACAUGAUUUGCUUCUUCUGUAUGUCCUUGAUCAGCUUGCGCUGAUGGUUGGUUUGACACUUCUGGUGGUUUAGUCUCUUGAUCCAUGACAGCUUCUGUCAAUUGAUUGCGCUCUGGUCCAUGAGGGUGUUCUUCCAACGUUUCUUCACGAGUGCUCUUGGCCUCUGGAGUUUCCAGUUUCUUCCCCUGCUCUUUCAAACCGGGAAGCUCCUCGCUUCUAGUUUCUUCAGCUGGAGCGGCCUUUUUUGACUCUUGGUGUUCGAUCUCUUUCUCAGGCAAAACUAGCUUAGGUUUCUUGAUUACUGUUUCCUGAUAUGUAGCGGCGGUGGUAGUAGAAGGAGGUUCUGCCUUUUCAGGAGUGGCUUCUUCUAAUUCGCUUUGAUCCUUAGGCUCUAGUUUCUUUUGUAACGUUGUAUCUACAACUCUUUCAGGCACUAUUUCAGCUGCAUCAGCCUUUUGCUCAACAACCCUUUUAUUUUGCAAA